CUCUUUAGCUUGGCAUUUGAAUCGGCUUUGCUGUUGCGAAGUAGAGUGGCGGCUUCGGCUGCCGAGGGUCGAUCCAUUUGGGAAAUGUUGUGUACUUCGGUAUGCAUCUCAAUUGGACCUGAUAUCAAGCAAGAUUACCCGCUGAACUUAAGCAUAUUAAUAAGGGGGAGAAAAAGAAACUAACAAGGAUUCCCCUAGUAACGGCGAGUGAAAGGUGUAACAGCUCAAGCUGAGAAGCUCCGUGCAAGUUUUGCGCGUCGAAUUGAAGUCUAUUUAGGCGUG
rnacentral:rRNA from 1 species